rnacentral:rRNA from 1 species
UACGGAGGGUGCAAGCGUUGUCCGGAAUCACUGGGCGUAAAGGGCGCGUAGGCGGCUCGGUAAGUAGGGGGUGAAAUCCUGCGGCUUAACCGCAGGGCUGGCCUUCUAAACUGUCGAGCUUGAGCACGGUAGAGGCAGAUGGAAUUCCCGGUGUAGCGGUGGAAUGCGUAGAGAUCGGGAAGAACAUCAGUGGCGAAGGCGGUCUGCUGGGCCGUUGCUGACGCUGAGGCGCGACAGCGUGGGGAGCAAACAGG